GAUUAAGUUAUUAAGGGCGCACGGUGGAUGCCUUGGCACUAGAAGCCGAUGAAGGACGUUACUAACGACGAUAUGCUUUGGGGAGCUGUAAGUAAGCUUUGAUCCAGAGAUUUCCGAAUGGGGAAACCCAGCAUGAGUUAUGUCAUGUUAUCGAUAUGUGAAUACAUAGCAUAUCAGAAGGCACACCCGGAGAACUGAAACAUCUUAGUACCCGGAGGAAGAGAAAGAAAAUUCGAUUCCCUUAGUAGCGGCGAGCGAAACGGGAAGAGCCCAAACCAACAAGCUUGCUUGUUGGGGUUGUAGGACACUCUAUACGGAGUUACAAAGGACGACAUUAGACGAAUCAUCUGGAAAGAUGAAUCAAAGAAGGUAAUAAUCCUGUAGUCGAAAAUGUUGUCUCUCUUGAGUGGAUCCUGAGUACGACGGAGCACGUGAAAUUCCGUCGGAAUCUGGGAGGACCAUCUCCUAAGGCUAAAUACUCUCUAGUGACCGAUAGUGAACCAGUACCGUGAGGGAAAGGUGAAAAGCACCCCGGAAGGGGAGUGAAAUAGAACCUGAAACCGUGUGCUUACAAGUAGUCAGAGCCCGUUAAUGGGUGAUGGCGUGCCUUUUGUAGAAUGAACCGGCGAGUUACGAUUUGAUGCAAGGUUAAGCAGUAAAUGUGGAGCCGUAGCGAAAGCGAGUCUGAAUAGGGCGUUUAGUAUUUGGUCGUAGACCCGAAACCAGGUGAUCUACCCUUGGUCAGGUUGAAGUUCAGGUAACACUGAAUGGAGGACCGAACCGACUUACGUUGAAAAGUGAGCGGAUGAACUGAGGGUAGCGGAGAAAUUCCAAUCGAACCUGGAGAUAGCUGGUUCUCUCCGAAAUAGCUUUAGGGCUAGCCUCAAGUGAUGAUUAUUGGAGGUAGAGCACUGUUUGGACGAGGGGCCCCUCUCGGGUUACCGAAUUCAGACAAACUCCGAAUGCCAAUUAAUUUAACUUGGGAGUCAGAACAUGGGUGAUAAGGUCCGUGUUCGAAAGGGAAACAGCCCAGACCACCAGCUAAGGUCCCAAAAUAUAUGUUAAGUGGAAAAGGAUGUGGCGUUGCCCAGACAACUAGGAUGUUGGCUUAGAAGCAGCCAUCAUUUAAAGAGUGCGUAAUAGCUCACUAGUCGAGUGACACUGCGCCGAAAAUGUACCGGGGCUAAACAUAUUACCGAAGCUGUGGAUUGUCCUUUGGACAAUGGUAGGAGAGCGUUCUAAGGGCGUUGAAGCAUGAUCGUAAGGACAUGUGGAGCGCUUAGAAGUGAGAAUGCCGGUGUGAGUAGCGAAAGACGGGUGAGAAUCCCGUCCACCGAUUGACUAAGGUUUCCAGAGGAAGGCUCGUCCGCUCUGGGUUAGUCGGGUCCUAAGCUGAGGCCGACAGGCGUAGGCGAUGGAUAACAGGUUGAUAUUCCUGUACCACCUAUAAUCGUUUUAAUCGAUGGGGGGACGCAGUAGGAUAGGCGAAGCGUGCGAUUGGAUUGCACGUCUAAGCAGUAAGGCUGAGUAUUAGGCAAAUCCGGUACUCGUUAAGGCUGAGCUGUGAUGGGGAGAAGACAUUGUGUCUUCGAGUCGUUGAUUUCACACUGCCGAGAAAAGCCUCUAGAUAGAAAAUAGGUGCCCGUACCGCAAACCGACACAGGUAGUCAAGAUGAGAAUUCUAAGGUGAGCGAGCGAACUCUCGUUAAGGAACUCGGCAAAAUGACCCCGUAACUUCGGGAGAAGGGGUGCUCUUUAGGGUUAACGCCCAGAAGAGCCGCAGUGAAUAGGCCCAAGCGACUGUUUAUCAAAAACACAGGUCUCUGCUAAACCGU
rnacentral:rRNA from 1 species